AAACAAAGAGCAUUUCUGUAUGUAGAAAACCAAAUUUAGUUAUAUUGACCAAACUAGUAGAUGUACAGAAGUAAAUAAUUUUUUAGUAUAGUGAGAAUAUUGAAAAUACUAUUUGUAAUAAUUAUCUGUAU